ensembl:lncRNA LINC01128 long intergenic non-protein coding RNA 1128
AGGUAAGAGGCGCGUGAGGCUCCUGUGCCGGGGGCGGUGCUGCUCCCGAGUCGGCGCGCGGCGGGGACGCGAGUCCUUUCUCUCCUGUCACAAUGGCAUGAUCUCGGCUCACUGCGACCUCUGCUUCCUGGGUUCAAGGAUUCUCCUGCCUCAGCCUCCCAAGUAGCUGGGAUUACAGUUUCCAUCAUUAUCUUCUAUGGAGUUCUUCAUUCCCACAUCUGUGGACCUUAAAAUCCUACCGUUGAGUGCCUGCCUUGGAUCAGCAGUCAGUUCGUUACCUUGGUUCUCAGACGAUGCUUGCAACAACGCCAUGCGAUUCGCCCACUCUUGGGUUACAUUAGUUAUACACUCUGGAGGUGACUUGACCUGUCAUUGUGAACAAUUAUUGCUCUUGGACGACCCAGGACAUAGGCCAGCCAGUACGUACCCCAGUGUGUUGGAGAAUCGCGCUCGGCUUCUUCCUCUGUGCUGAGUCAUGAAAGUUGCCGGAGCAGGUGCAGUUACACAACCUCCAGGUAUGAUCCUGUUUAAGGACUGGAUUUAGGAUAACUACUUAGAGGUUAAAAGUCACAAGGGUGUAUGGAUGAGGCUGGAGUGAUCUGGGACCAAAGACAUCUAGGCUUGCUGUCAAGGCUUCUGAUCAACAUGAGAUGACCGCCGUGUGGUAAACUGAUGAACCCUGACCCUGAUCAACAUGAGAUGACCGCCGUGUGGUAAACUGAUGAACCCCGACCCUGAUGAACGUGAGAUGACCGCCGUGUGGUAAACUGAUGAACCCCGACCCUGAUGAACGUGAGAUGACCGCCGUGUGGUAAACUGAUGAACCCCGACCCUGAUGAACGUGAGAUGACCGCCGUGUGGUAAACUGAUGAACCCCGACCCUGAUGAACGUGAGAUGACCGCCGUGUGGUAAACUGAUGAACCCCGACCCUGAUCAACGUGAGAUGACCGCCGUGUGGUAAACUGAUGAACCCCGACCCUGAUGAACAUGAGAUGACCGCCGUGUGGUAAACUGAUGAACCCCGACCCUGAUCAACAUGAGAUGACCGCCGUGUGGUAAACUGAUGAACCCCGACCCUGAUCAACAUGAGAUGACUGCCGUGUGGUAAACUGAUGAACCCUGACCCAUUAGGCUUUGGCUACAGAAUGUGGAAAUAAGUUGUGUUACUACAUGUGUGUAAUCCUAGGGUGCAGGACACCGGCCGGGAGGUUCCAUAGAGUGAUGGGUUCUGCAGGUAACUCAUCCUCUAGUCCUCUGUAAGCUCCUAGAAGGAAGAAAUUAUGUCCUUUAGACUAAUAAAAUUCCUCCAAACCAAAUACAGCACCUACUGUGAAGACACAAAGAUACUUUUAGAAUAGUAAAAACUUUAUCCAUUGAGAAAUUCCUUAAUGAAACAGUAUCCAAGAAGUCAUUUGCCAGCAGAUUUCUUAGAGGUGCGAUAAAGAAGAGGACAUUGCCAGUCGUCACAGCAGCUGCAAUAGCUCCUCUCUAUUGUUAAACAGUGGGAUAUCUUGUGCAGGUUUUCAGUUGACAAUCAAUUUUAAAGAUUAGUUUCGGUCCCCAUCAAUCAAUUAUUUAUUAACCCAUCAAUAAAAAUUUAAAUGCUCUGUGAGGUACAAUAGCUAUUAAAAGAGACAGAGGCACUUUCUGUGUCCAGAGGGGCUUUUAGUCUGCUCUGGAAAGCAAGAUGCGUGCAGAUGAGUGACGCAGUGCAUCGUGUGGAUGCAAAGGGAGGGACUCACAUGGGAACCAGAGGAGCUACGAAGGGAGGCAGUGGGGACUGGUGGGUCGAGACCUGGAAAUAACACAUGAAUAGGCAACAAAGGUUUCCUUUCCUCUUCCAUGCACUUCAGUCCUUGAAAAACGUCUUACCACGGAAUUCCACAGCGUACCAAGCGAUUCCACAGCUUGAUGGCACACUCUCCUUUCUCAGCAUUCUUGAAAAUGGCGUGUGAGCCAAGCCAUCUUACUGAGAAAUUACCUUAAACCAUUUGAUGAACCAAAAAUAUUUUGUAAUACCCAUCUCCGACAUUAGGUAGGCAAAUCACACAGAAACACCGAGGUCUUCUGAGUCAUAUUUAUCUGAAAAAUCACAGCUUGGGUGCAUGUGAAGCCAGAGGAGCACUCCUGGGGCCUGCGGUGCCAUCACUCAGCUCCCCUGGGCUUCACAUGGCCAUGGAGCACCCAGCAAGUGUAGGCUCUGAGCCUUCAGGGAGGGGCGGCAUCAGCCAGCACCAUCGUCUCCUGGGUCUUGUGCCUCUUCCUUGGUUGCGGUGUUGUCAGGGCCAGAAUUGGGCAAUUCCGGGUGACAUCCAGGUGUGGCUGCUGACACGGAGCACAGGUGAGGUUCACUGAGGACACCCUGCUCCUGUGGUUUGCAGCCCCGGCCUUCUCUUCGAGGACGCCUCUGCUCUUCUGCCUCACACUCGGAUUGGACCUUCUUCAGCACAGCCAGUGGCCGAGGCUUCCUCCCUGGGGCUCAGUGGAGCAGGACAGAUGCUGCAUCCAAACUCUUCCAUUGGGUUCCAGUCUGUUCCAGUCAUGCCCUUGAGCCUCUAAAGCUCCUAGGUGAGAGACGUAGCAGCUGACAGCACUUCCCACUUGAUUUGGGUGGACUCCAGCCUCCCCAGCAACAAUAAGAGAUCAAAAGCAUCGUUGAGGAAGCAGCUUGCUGAAACGCUGAGUGCCCGCCACUCUCAGGUCAGGUGGGACCGGCAGGCCAGCAUGAGUUCCUGAACACUUGGUUCUCAAUACUGGCCACAGCCACACUGUAAGGGGAAACAAGAGGGCACUGUAUGCAAACAUCUCUUGAACUCUGGAGUCUGCUCACCUUCCUGCCUCAAGCCCCUCUCCCACGUGGUCCAGUCACCAUUCUCCACAGAGACUACCCUAAAACCCAGCGACUCUCGUGUGCCUGCAGAAUGGCACAGCCCGUUCUCAUAGCAGCACUCCUGUUUAAUCAGAGGGAUGUUAACGACCAAGUCAUAUUUGCUCGAUUUGUGUUCAACAUAUUUCAUUUGUACCGAUAAAACUUAAAAAUAUCCCCACACAUGCAUUGCCUAUUAAAGAGUAUCUUCCAGGUACACCUCCCUUACA